AGUGGAAAUCGUAAAGGAGAAUCACCAUAUGCUAGAGGAGCACCUUGUACCUAUUGUGGUCCAGAUUUUUGCAGGAACAAAUUGUGCAGUGAUCCAGAUCGUGAAGUAAUCAAUCAAUAUCCUCAAUGGAAACCAGAUUUUGGGUCUGCCUUCACUUUGUUGUCAAACUACCUACUGCUACUAAUAUCUAUUACUAUAAUAUACAUUUUAU